GACAGAGGGUGCAAACGUUGUUCGGAAUUACUGGGCGUAAAGCGAGUGUAGGCGGUUCGGUAAGUCGGAUGUGAAAGCCCCGGGCUCAACCUGGGAAGUGCACUCGAUACUGCCGAGCUAGAGUAUCGGAGAGGUUGGUGGAAUUCUCGGUGUAGAGGUGAAAUUCGUAGAUAUCGAGAGGAACACCGGUGGCGAAGGCGGCCAACUGGACGAAUACUGACGCUGAGACUCGAAAGCGUGGGGAGCAAACAGG
rnacentral:rRNA from 1 species